rnacentral:tRNA from 1 species
GUUGGACUAGUUUAAAAAAAACGCUUCUCUGUGGCAGAAAAAAAGGGCAAGGCCCGUCUAACC